rnacentral:rRNA from 1 species
CCUACGGGAGGCAGCAGUUGGGAAUAUUGCACAAUGGGCGCAAGCCUGAUGCAGCCAUGCCGCGUGUGUGAAGAAGGCCUUCGGGUUGUAAAGCACUUUCAGCGGGGAGGAAGGCGGUGAGGUUAAUAACCUCAUCGAUUGACGUUACCCGCAGAAGAAGCACCGGCUAACUCCGUGCCAGCAGCCGCGGUAAUACGGAGGGUGCAAGCGUUAAUCGGAAUUACUGGGCGUAAAGCGCACGCAGGCGGUCUGUCAAGUCGGAUGUGAAAUCCCCGGGCUCAACCUGGGAACUGCAUUCGAAACUGGCAGGCUAGAGUCUUGUAGAGGGGGGUAGAAUUCCAGGUGUAGCGGUGAAAUGCGUAGAGAUCUGAAGGAAUACCGGUGGCGAAGGCGGCCACCUGGACAAAGACUGACGCUCAGGUGCGAAAGCGUGGGGAGCAAACAGGAUUAGAUACCCGGGUAGUC